rnacentral:rRNA from 1 species
GACGAACGCUGGCGGCGUGCUUAACACAUGCAAGUCGAGCGAGGCUCCCCCUUCGGGGGGAUGCCCUAGCGGCGAACGGGUGAGUAACACGUGGGCAACCUGCCCCUAGCUCUGGGAUAACCCCGGGAAACCGGGGCUAAUACCGGAUACGACCUAGAGAAGCAUUUCUCCUGGUGGAAAGUUUUUCGGCUAGGGAUGGGCCCGCGGCCUAUCAGCUUGUUGGUGGGGUAACGGCCUACCAAGGCGACGACGGGUAGCCGGCCUGAGAGGGCGACCGGCCACACUGGGACUGAGACACGGCCCAGACUCCUACGGGAGGCAGCAGUGGGGAAUAUUGCACAAUGGGCGAAAGCCUGAUGCAGCGACGCCGCGUGAGGGAUGACGGCCUUCGGGUUGUAAACCUCUUUCAGCAGGGACGAAGCGAAAGUGACGGUACCUGCAGAAGAAGCACCGGCCAACUACGUGCCAGCCGCCGCAGUAAAAC